AGAUCCCACAAGCCUCGUGGCGACGACCCCAAACAAACAAAUAACAACGAAACCUUUCUUGAAACCAUUUCAGACUGCAUGAUUGUUGAUCUCUUUCUGGAGUGGACGGUUUAGCAUUUACCAGUCUGUGUCCUGAUCCCCGUGGCCAGGUUCUUCUGAAGCCUCUUCUUAACUAUACUUUGUCAACCUUGGCCCAUAAAGAUGUAAACAAAGACUAACAGCUUCUGGCAGCUGAAAGCAUAUUCACAGGAUGACCCUAGCCACCUGUUAAAGUGCCUACCUGAGAACACUCCAGGUUGUCAAAAAACUUAUUGUUUGUUUCCAUCCAACACCUGAGACACGGGCUCUGUCUCUUGGUCUCUGCAGGAGGGGAGGAGUCUUACUCUGAUAAGCCCUAGUUAGCAAACCUAUAUGAGUUUUACAGGGAUCAACCUCCUUUUGUGGGUUUUUUUUUUUUAAUUUCUCACUGCCCUAACCCUGCUGAGACACCCUCAUCCUCUUACCCAUUCCCUCGUUCUCCCUUUAAAGAGCCCCAUCACCUCUGUACAAAUGAAAGUUGAGUUCAGCUCACCCUGGACUCUUUUCCUAUUGUAAUAGUAUAUUACUGAUUAAAAUCUGUCCUGACCACUUUA